AUUGAACGCUGGCGGCAGGCCUAACACAUGCAAGUCGAACGAGUGGCGGACGGGUGAGUAAUGUCUGGGAAACUGCCCGAUGGAGGGGGAUAACUACUGGAAACGGUAGCUAAUACCGCAUACCAUCGGAUUUGCCCAGAUGGGAUUAGCUAGUGGGUGUGGUAACGGUUCACCUAGGCGACGAUCCCUAGCUGGUCUGAGAGGAUGACCAGCCACACUGGAACUGAGACACGGUCCAGACUCCUACGUGAGGCAGCAGUGGGGAAUAUUGCACAAUGGGCGCAAGCCUGAUGCAGCCAUGCCGCGUGUAUGAAGAAGGCCUUAGGGUUGUAAAGUACUUUCAGCGGGGAGGCGUUACCCGCAGAAGAAGCACCGGCUAACUCCGUGCCAGCAGCCGCGGUAAUAC
rnacentral:rRNA from 1 species